CAACUUUCAGAAGCAUUAAAAGCAAACACAUCCUAAGGCAAAUAAUUGUCCAUUUGCUGCUCAGAUUAUGAUUAAUUAAGCAGUCAGAAGAGUUGGCUGAUAAUUUCUGGAAAUUUAAGCAACCGCCGAGCCUUUCAAGCUCAAUGAACGACUCAAAGGUCGAGCCAUGAGAGGAGAACGAGCAUAAAAGACCGGCCAGACAGCCGGUUAGAGGGCGAUUGGCUAAAAACGACAAGAAUUGAUAAUUUGCAGUAGGAAGUAUUUAUUUCUGUAUAGAUCUUUGGCUAUGAGGGAAGUUCGAAAUAAUUAAACAUGGGUUGAAAUUCUA